AACGCACGAGACCUGCGGACCUGCGGAAGGAUCAUUACCGAGUUUACAACUCCCAAACCCAAUGUGAACGUUACCAAACUGUUGCCUCGGCGGGAUCUCUGCCCCGGGUGCGUCGCAGCCCCGGACCAAGGCGCCCGCCGGAGGACCAACCAAAACUCUUUUGUAUACCCCCUCGCGGGUUUUUAUAUCUGAGCCAUCUCGGCGCCUCUCGUAGACGUUUCGAAAAUGAAUCAAAACUUU
rnacentral:misc_RNA from 1 species